CGCCAAGCCUGACGGAGGAAUCUUUGUUCGAUUGGACCCAAAUCUCUUUUCUCUUAAUUGUUUCUCUUUCGCGGAGAUUAAUGGACCGUGGGAAAGAGCGGUCUAAAGUAACUGGAUUAUACCGACCUGCGGGCGAACUGCAACGGCGACCGGUGCAGCUGCGGCGAUCACGGAAGGCGCCAGGACCGGAUGCACCGUUGCUGCAGCAGCAGCAGCAGCAGUGAUGCUGGGAUCCCGCUGUACGACCGCGUUAAAACCGUUGAUGGGAUCGGCCGCGUAGGAGACGAUGCGCCGGGCGCCGUCGGGCUCGAUUAAGCUGUAACUUCCUUCAACUACGUCCCCGUUGCGAGUUUCCUCCUGCGCCUUAUUGUCGCCUGGAAAAGGAUGUUAUACCGGUGAGACCAUCUGCCACGCUAUAACCAAAGCUAUAUCGAGGAUGUGAAUUGUAGUUUUCGGCUCUGAUAACCGUUGCAGUUGGUUGUUGCGCGACAGCUACUGCAGCUGCACCUGGACCAGUGAUCUCGGCGCGGGCGACGGCCAGUAAGGCGACGAAAUAACCGAUAAUCUGUGUGCAUCAAGAAGGAAAUAUCAGAUAUCGUCGGCAUGCCAGAUAAUUAACUCAAAUAUAGUUUCACAUAG